rnacentral:rRNA from 1 species
GUGGGGAAUAUUGCACAAUGGGCGAAAGCCUGAUGCAGCAACGCCGCGUGAAGGAAGAAGGCCCUUGGGUCGUAAACUUCUGUUCUAAGGGAAGAUAAUGACGGUACCUUAGGAGCAAGUCCCGGCUAACUACGUGCCAGCAGCCGCGGUAAUACGUAGGGGGCGAGCGUUAUCCGGAAUUAUUGGGCGUAAAGAGUACGUAGGUGGUUAUCUAAGCGAGGGGUUUAAGGCAAUAGCUCAACUAUUGUUUGCCCCGCGAACUGGGUGACUUGAGUGCUGGAGAGGAAAGCGGAAUUCCUAGUGUAGCGGUGAAAUGCGUAGAUAUUAGGAGGAACAUCAGUGGCGAAGGCGGCUUUCUGGACAGUAACUGACACUGAGGUACGAAAGUGUGGGGAGCAAACAGGAUUAGAAACCCCAGUAGUCC